rnacentral:lncRNA from 1 species
GGAGAACAUGUCCCCGUCCUGCCGGAGCGUGAGGAGGGACGGGGGAGGCCCCGGAGGCGCCCAGCUCAGCUGGCCCAAGUUGCCGCUGCAGAGCCGUCUCCGGGCAGGCUCUUGGGCUCCCUCAAGCACCAGCCCGUGCGUGGCUUAGUGAGCAACGCUGCCAAGCUGGAUAUUUUGCUGAAAGUCAAUCACCCUACGUGGACGUGAAUUGCCCGUUGCGGUGGUUUUUGCCUGCUGCUGCAUUUUCUGGUGCUGGCCACGCUGGCUUGGAGGAACGGCGCGUCCCCCAACAAGGAGGAGGACAGGAGGACCCAGCCGCGAGGAGCCCCGUGUCCGACGGGGACAUGUGCGAACAAGCAGGCACCUGGGGACCGCGUCCCUCCGCCAGCACCGUGCUCGAGGGAGCAGCGGUCUCGCAGCCGCAGGCCAGCAGCACGCCGUGACCUGCUGGGGGGCUCGCUCNNNNNNNNNNNNNNNNNNNNNNNNNNNNNNNNNNNNNNNNNNNNNNNNNNNNNNNNNNNNNNNNGGGCUAGGCUGGCCCAAGCUCAGGAGGAUAUAGCGUAUUGGCAGGCAAAGGCUAUGACUCAAUGGGUCUAUUUCAUCUCUCUCAGAUCUUUUGCUUUUUUUUCUUUAAUCCACUUGCCUCAUUGACUUUAUUUUACAAUCCAUUGCUGGGUUCACUGAAGAGCACUUUGGUCAUUAAGCACGUUGGGGCAUGUGAAUAAACCUGCAUCUCCAAACUGUAAAUCGCUUCAGAGCCAGUAUCAAGUCAUUGGCUGGGAUGCGAAAGGCACGGCGCAAAACCUGCCCUGCGUCUCUCUCUGUCUCUCCUCCCCACCUCUGUCCUCCUCCAUCUCCAUGUUUUGGAUGUUUUGAAGGGCAAAGGCCAGCCAGGCUGUGCAGGACUGACUGGAAGACAAUCCUAUCCCAUUGCAAAUCCUUUGAUGAGUCUGGGCCUCCAUUCCCCCUCCGCAGAGCUGGACACGUCAGAUGUCUCCUGUCUCUUUGCCAAGGGUCCAUGGAGAAGGUUCUGGGUGCGUGGGUCUGGGCCUGUGAGAGGAGAGCCACGAUGCUGCAGUACAGACCAUGCCGAAACACCUAAGAGCACCCUUGCAAGGAUGGGAGCUGCAAGACCCAACGCAGAGAGAGGAAAGCCAGAGGGAAGCAGCUUACCCUGCACUCCCCAGAAAGCUAGGCAGCUUUCAGGAGCUGUGGUAAGCUCCUUCAACCAGCUCUUGCCAUGGAAAACAGCUUCAGCGCCAGCCACCCACUGUGCAUUUGCUGUGAUUCACUUUCCCUGCGCUGUGAGGGGGGUUUCCUCCCAGCGCUGA